GGAUGUGAGGGCCAGCUACCUGAGAAACCUGCUACGUCAUUUGUCACCAGUGUUGAUCUGGCUGAUUUGGCUAGCUUCAGGGUGGUCCCUUCCUCCCUCACUGCUCUGUGUGUGUGUGUCCUGAAGCUAAACCUGUGCACUCAGUCAAAGAGGCAUCUUCCCCAAAUAGAGGAUUGGUCUUCGGUCAAGGGUAUAUGAGAAAGAACUCUUCACAAACCAAUCAGCCCUGUAAUUACUUGCAGAAACUGCAUAGGGGCAGGACUCA
ensembl:misc_RNA Gm23408 predicted gene, 23408